CUGGUCCCUCAGCAUUUCCGGAGCCAUAUAACGGAAAGAUCCGGCACGGCACACGAUGGACGAAUUCGUUAAUCUACGUAUACGAGAAUGAAUGAUACUCGGCGAAAUUCUUCGAGACGCCGAAAUCACCAAUUUUCACAAUGUCGCCGCGGCUUCCAGUCAGCAUAAUGUUCUCUGGCUUCAGGUCACGGUGAAGGAUCCUUUUGAAAUGAAUGUGAUGAACUCCUAGAACGACUUGGGAGAACAAGUACAGCGCAUCCUAAGUUUCACGCAUAAAUGAUAUGUUAAUAUGUAUUUAUAUGUUGCAACGAGUUGAAAAUAUCAAAGAGACCUUGGGCUCUUACUUCCUCCUUGAGCGGCGUCUCGUUGUUUUCUAAUAGAUCUUUCAAAGUGCCACGCGUUGCAUACUCCAUAAGAAUGUAACUGUGAUUGUUCUCUAUCCAGGCUCCAUAGUAUGCCACUAUGUUAGUGUGCCUCAACGUAUGCAAACAUUUCACUUCCUCUAAUAUGUUCUAAUGAUUCCAAUAUGCACACACUUGUAUUUAAGAUCAAGAGACAAAAUUAUGCGCAUACGUUACCACUGUUCAAUUAAGAAAUCUCCUCACCUUAAAAGGUAAUGCAUUUACAUCAUCGAGAAUUUGUUCCUUGACAACGAAUGGUUUGGAAUCUUUCUUCCGUCGUACUAAAUAAACAGAUCUGGAAAGAGUAGACGAUGCUAUGCAACAGGAGAAUUUCAUUCGACACGAAUACAUACCCGAAGGAGCCUUGUCCCAACACUGUCUCAAAUAUAUAAUCGUCUAUGCGCAGUGACAUAUUUUUGGCGAAAACGAU